rnacentral:rRNA from 1 species
CUACAACAAGUUCGAGCCCGUUAAUGGGUGAGAGCGUGCCUUUUGUAGAAUGAACCGGCGAGUUACGAUCUGAUGCAAGGUUAAGCAGAAAAUGUGGAGCCGUAGCGAAAGCGAGUCUGAAUAGGGCGUUGAGUAUUUGGUCGUAGACCCGAAACCAGGUGAUCUACCCAUGGUCAGGUUGAAGUUCAGGUAACACUGAAUGGAGGACCGAACCGACUUACGUUGAAAAGUGAGCGGAUGAACUGUGGGUAGCGGAGAAAU